UACGUAGGGGGCAAGCGUUGUCCGGAUUUAUUGGGCGUAAAGAGCGUGUAGGCGGCCACACAGGUCAGCUGUGAAAACUCGAGGCUCAACCUCGAGACGUCGGUUGAAACCGUAUGGCUAGAGUCCGGAAGAGGAGAGUGGAAUUCCCGGUGUAGCGGUGAAAUGCGCAGAUAUCGGGAAAAACACCCGUGGCGAAGGCGGCUCUCUGGGACGGUACUGACGCUGAGACGCGAAAGCGUGGGGAGCGAACAGG
rnacentral:rRNA from 1 species